rnacentral:rRNA from 1 species
UUUGUUGUUUUGUAGGGCACACGGUGGAUGCCUUGGCAUAUCAAGCCGAUGAAGGACGUGAGAGGCUGCGUUAUGCCUCGGGGAGUUGCCAACUAAGCGUUGAUCCGAGGAUGUCCGAAUGGGGAAACCCAGCCGCAGUGAUGUGUGGUUACCUGCCAGUGAAUGUAUAGCUGGUGUGGAGGUUUACACGGGGAAGUGAAACAUCUCAGUACCCGUAGGAGAAGAAAACAAUUGUGAUUCCGUUAGUAGUGGCGAGCGAACGUGGAUGAUGGCUAAAACUUAUGUGUGUGAUACCCGGCAGGGGUUGCAUGUAGGUGGUUGUGGGGCAAUAACAUCCAUAUUCUGCCGGAUGUGGGCAUGUGCUGCGUGGUUAGUGGAAGUGGUGUGGAAACACCUGCCGUAGAAGGUGAGAGUCCUGUACACGAAGAUCAUGGUGGUGUGUGUGGUUGUUGAUACCCCGAGUAGCAGCGGGCUCGUGGAAUCUGCUGUGAAUUAGCCGGGACCACCCGGUAAGCCUGAAUACUUGAUAUGACCGAUAGCGGAUUAGUACCGUGAGGGAAUGGUGAAAAGUACCCCGGGAGGGGAGUGAAAUAGUACCUGAAACCGUGUGCUGUCAAUCCGUCAGAGCAUCCUUAUGUGGUGUGAUGGCGUGCCUUUUGAAGAAUGAGCCUGCGAGUCAGCGGCAUGUCGCGAGGUUAACCCGUGUGGGGUAGCCGUAGGGAAACCGAAUCCUAACGAGGGUGUUUUAGUGGCAUGUCUUGGACCCGAAGCGGAGUGAUCUACCCAUGGCCAGUGUGAAGCAGCUGUAAGAGGUUGUGGAGGCGCGAACCCACUUAGGUUGAAAACUGAGGGGAUGAGUUGUGGGUAGGGGUGAAAGGCCAAUCAAACUCCGUGAUAGCUGGUUCUCCCCGAAAUGCAUUUAGGUGCAGCGUCGUGUGUUUCUUGCCGGAGGUAGAGCUACUGGAUGGUUUAGCGGGACCAACAUCUUAGCGACAUCAGCCAAACUCCGAAUGCCGGUAAGUGAGAGCACGGCAGUGAGACUGCGGGGGAUAAGCUUCGUAGUCGAGAGGGAAACAGCCCAGAUCGCCGGCUAAGGCCCCUAAGGGUGUGCUAAGUGGAAAAGGAGGUGGGGUCGCGAAGACAGCCAGGAGGUUGGCUUAGAAGCAGCCAUCCUUGAAAGAGUGCGUAAUAGCUCACUGGUCGAGUGAUUCCGCGCCGACAAUGUAGUGGGGCUUAAGUACACCGCCGAAGCCGCGGCAAUGAUCUUUAUUGGAUUGUUGGGUAGGGGAGCGUCGUGCAUGCGUUGAAGCUUUGGGGUGACCUUGGGUGGAGUGUGUGCGAGUGAGAAUGCAGGCAUGAGUAACGAAUGAUGCGUGAGAAACGUAUCCGCCGGAUGACUAAGGGUUCCUGGGUCAAGUUAAUCUUCCCAGGGUGAGUCGGGGCCUAAGGCGAGGCCGACAGGCGUAGUCGAUGGAUAACGGGUUGAUAUUCCCGUACCCGAGUAUGAGCGACCAUGGUGAAUCAGUGAUACUAACCACCCAUAAGCACCCGCGAAAAGGCUUUGCUUUUUUGUGGUGUGUGGUUGCGUGGGACCUGAUCUGGUAGUAGCUAAGUGAUGGGGUGACGCAGGGAGGUAGCUCAGCCACUUAUUGGAUUGUGGUGUAAGCGUGUGGCACGCAGUGUUGGUAAAUCCGCACUGUUUUUGUGUGAGGCGUGAUGCGGAGCCCGUAAAGGGUGAAGUGGGUGAUCCUGUGCUGUCGAGAAAAGCCUCUAGCGAUGUUGAUAUUCGGCCCGUACCCUAAACCGACACAGGUAGUCAGGUAGAGAAUACUAAGGCGUUCGGGUGAACUGUGGUUAAGGAACUCGGCAAAAUGCCCCCGUAACUUCGGGAGAAGGGGGGCCACGGCGUGUGAACAACUUUUCGUUGGGAGCGUGUUGUGGUCGCAGAGAAUAGAGGGAAGCGACUGUUUACUAAAAACACAGGUCCGUGCGAAGACGUUUAAGUUGAUGUAUACGGACUGACGCCUGCCCGGUGCUGGAAGGUUAAGAGGACCGGUUAG